rnacentral:rRNA from 1 species
UAGNUGCGGAUGGCUAACACAUGCAAGUCGUAGCGGUACAGAGAGGUGCUUGCACCUUUGCUGACGAGCGGCGGACGGGUGAGUAAUGCUUGGGAACAUGCCUUGAGGUGGGGGACAACAGUUGGAAACGACUGCUAAUACCGCAUAAUGUCUACGGACCAAAGGGGGCUUCGGCUCUCGCCUUUAGAAUUGGCCCAAGUGGGAUUAGCUAGUUGGUGAGGUAAUGGCUCACCAAGGCGACGAUCCCUAGCUGGUUUGAGAGGAUGAUCAGCCACACUGGGACUGAGACACGGCCCAGACUCCUACGGGAGGCAGCAGUGGGGAAUAUUGCACAAUGGGCGCAAGCCUGAUGCAGCCAUGCCGCGUGUGUGAAGAAGGCCUUCGGGUUGUAAAGCACUUUCAGUCAGGAGGAAAGGUUAGUAGUUAAUACCUGCUAGCUGUGACGUUACUGACAGAAGAAGCACCGGCUAACUCCGUGCCAGCAGCCGCGGUAAUACGGAGGGUGCGAGCGUUAAUCGGAAUUACUGGGCGUAAAGCGUACGCAGGCGGUUUGUUAAGCGAGAUGUGAAAGCCCUGGGCUCAACCUGGGAACUGCAUUUCGAAACUGGCAAACUAGAGUGUGAUACGAGGGUGGUAGAAAUUUNCAGUGUAGCGGGUGAAAUGCGUUGAGAUCUGAAGGAAUUCCCGAUUGGC